AUAUCUUGGUUUCCGCAAACUCCCGCUCAAACGCUUAGAUCUAUCUAUUCUACUCUGUCCUCCUGGAUUCCAUUCCAUACAUCUCUCCCUCUCUCUCUAGAUUUUUUUCAUGGAUUCAACUCAAAAAAUCAUCCCCAAAUGUCUCAUCGAUUUACAUCUGUGGAGUUACCACUCAUUGCGUCAUAUAAACAAACAGUUCAGUGUUGUUUCUCUCGAGUCGAGUCACUCGUUAUCUUGCUAUUGCUGUUGAUUCAUCUACUUCAGAGAUUCCUUCUUCCCUUUUUAGAUGAGAAGGAAUGUUGGUGACACGAAAAUGCAGGAUGAUAAUGAUGAUGAUCUUCUUCUUCUUCUUCUUCUUCAAGUUGAUCAUGUAUUUCUACCAAGUCAUCUUUUACGGAACAAGGAGAUUUAUUGCAGGACUUGUCUGUGAAAUUGCAGAAGAACACUUCUUAGCAGCAAGGAAUAAGGUGAUAUAUGUAUGAUGAAAUAAGGGGAAGAAGCAGAUGGUUUGGGCUUGUGACCAUGUUCAAAUGAUGAAGUCAAGACUCCAGUGCAGCAUUUGAAUGGCUAUAUCUGGGAAUAACAUCUUAAAUCAACUCUUCACUUGGAACCUGUAUUUCUUCGACAUAUCAACAGUUGUUUUUAGUAUGGAGUAGAAGGAUGUUUGAUCACAUUUUUAAGAGUGCAUUUAGACGAUUUAAACUUAUCGACAAUCCUGUAAUACUAAAAAAAUAUCACCUGCUAAAUUUGUUAAAACUUAAAUUUCAAAUAAAGCAAUAAAAGACAUCAAAAAUGUAAGCUAAAGAACUAAAAAACUUCACUCGUUCACAUGGACGGCAACCAAUUAUCACCAUGAUCCAAGACUGGAGAUGCUUGAGUGAGUGCGCUUGGUUCCACUUGGACGGGAAUUGAUGACUAACACAGUUGAAAUUUGAAGACGCUGGAUUGAAGACCAAAUUGCAAAGAAACUGCGCUCGGUUCCACCUGGUCAGGAACCGAUGACUACCGCAGUAGAAGUUUGAAGACGCUGGAUUGAAGACCAAGUUGCAAAGGAACUGCGCUCGGUUCCACCUGAUCAGGAACCGAUGACUAUAGCAGUUGAAGUUUAAAGAUGUUGGAUUGAAGACCAAAUUGCAAAGAAACUGCCCUCGGUUCCACCUGGACGGAACCGAUGACUAUGGCAGUAGAAGUUUGAAGACCAAAUUGCUAAUAAACUGCUUGGUACUUGGACGGUUUAAACUUAUUGACAAUGCUGUCAAUACAAAAAUACUAAAAAAAAACACCUGCUAAAUUUGUUAAGCUUAUAUUUCAAAUAGAGCAAUAAAAGACAUUUAAACCUGGACGUUAACCGAUGACUACCACACUUGAAGUCUGAAGAUGCUGGAUUGAAGACCAAAUUGCUAAGAAACUGUGCUCGGUUCCACCUGGUCGGGAACCGAUGACUACCGCAGUUGAAGUCUGAAGACGUUGGACUGAAGACCAAAUUGCUAAGAAACUGCGCUCAGUUCCACCUGGACGGGAACUGAUGAAUACCGCAGUCAAAGACUGAAGAUGCUGGAUUGAAGACAAAAAUGCGAAGAAAACUGCGCUCAAUUCCACCUGCACGGACCCGAUGAAUACCGCAGUCAAAGAUUGAAGAUGCUGGAUUUUGAAGACCAAAAUGGAAAGGAGACUGCGCUCGGUUCCACCUGGACAGGAACCGAUGACUAUCGCAGUUGAAGUCUAAAGACGCUAGACUGAAGACCAAAUUGCUAAGAAACUGUGCUCAGUUCCACCUUGUCGGGAACCGAUGACUAUUGCAGUAGGAUUGAAGACCAAAAUACUAAGGAAACUGCGCUCGGUUCCACCUGGACGGAAACCGAUGACUGCCGCAGUGGAAAAUGGAAGACGCUGGAUUAAAGACCAAAUUGCCAUGAAAACUGCGCUAUGUUCCAUCUGAACGGGAACCGAAGACUAUCGCGGUCAGAGGCUGAAGACGCUGGAUUGUGCACGCAAUUGCGAAGGAAAUUUCACUCUUCCACCUGGAUAGAAACUGAUGACUAGUCCAGAUGAAUACCGAAGUUGCGGGAGCAAAGACCUAAUUAUUGAGAAGUUGCGCUCUGAAACUCAUGACAGUCGCGAGUUAGGAUUGAAGGUAUUGUAGUAAAGACCAAAACGGUAAGAGUCUGUAAUUGAGUUCCCCCUGACCGGGACAUAUAAACACAAACCAGAGAUUUUACACUUAAGGAGGUUAGAUGCACGUAUUCGGAUUUUAAUAGAUGCAGUAUUUAGUUUCAAAUAAAUAUACGCCUUUUUUGAUUUUUGAUCACUGCAUUUGGCUAUUAGUUGUUCUUAAUUAUUCAGUGAAAGAGUCUACUUAUCAACUUCAAAGGUAUGAAUUCUUAAUUCCUACUAUAUCUUUACUAAAUUUUGCAUUGAAAUAUUUCUUACUUGGGCGUCGGAGUACCUUUUUUGUUUUUUUGCAGGUCUCAAUUAAGUACUCCAAAGACAAACUCAGUAGAGAUAGUUUAUGAGGCAGAAUGCUAGACUGCUUGGCAUUUGAUGAGACUGCUGCUAGGAGACACAUAGAUUUGGAGAUCCGGCAUUCAUGAAAUUGACUACAUUAUAAUCAGGGCAAAAGUCCCGACAACCCGUUGUUGAUUCGGAAAGAGGGAUGCUGCUUAGAAGGAAUGAAUAAGAUGAGAACAAUGCAGCUCACGGAACCCAUUGUUAAUUGUGAAACAGAUUGCUGGUGCCUCUGGGAGAACGGUAGCUGUUUGGCUUUUGAUCAGUUUGUCUCCAAGGGUAUGUGUGGAUACUAGUAGUACAGCUGGAUCUCUUAUA